UUGGAAGGUGUGCAAUGGUAA
rnacentral:siRNA from 1 species